AGCUGCAACACCAUCGGAGAUGUUUCAUCAGUUGAGCACCUCACCACUUCGUUCAGCGUUUCAUAUGCAGCAGUCCUCAACCGGGAUUCCCCAGCAUCUUCUCUGUGAGUAACAGUUAGAAGAGCAUGCACAAUUUCCUGGAAAUAAGGUGUCAAGGGAGAUGAUGGGCCUGAAUCCUCAUAACCUUGGGCAAGGAAAUACAGGGCACCGCAUGCCUUCUCAGCCACAUUUGGAGCAUCCUUCAUGCUUUGGAGAAGAACUGUUAUAAUCUGUUGGCAAUUUGCUUGAGUAAUUAUGGGUGUAUCCAAAGUUGAACCAUGAAGGAAUUCAAAGAUUCGUCCCAAAGUCCAAGCAGUGGUAUCUUUAACAUGGCUAUUUGGGUCCUUUGUCAAAGCAGUAAGCAUGAAAUUCAAAGCGACAUUAACAAUAGGUGUCAACUUGUCAGGUGAAGGACCCUCCAAGAUUGAGCCAAAAGCAUAUGUGGCUGCCUCCCUUUGCCUCCAAUCUGGUUUUGUUAUAUUUUCUUCAAUGAAUGGCAUAACAAGUGGCACAAUGUCAUCUCCCACAGUCCUUGCAACCAAGCCAAGGCAUGUCCCCCCUGCCAUUGCAAUGUUCCAAGCCCCUUCAUCCUGAUCUUGAUCCUCCUCUUGCUUAAGGAGAGUCUCCAACAACAUUGGGACGAGAGCAGGGAGAGCCUGCUUGAUAAAAUAAAAACAAGGAAUGUCAGAAUCCCCAGGGAAAUCACCACCAUAUUCUUCCAAGAUGUCUAUCUCUUCGUCACAGAUUGAACUCCAAAACUCAAUUGCCUGGAGAGCCACAGGUUCCUCAUCUUCCCUCACAGCCUUUGCUGUAAUACUAAAGAUGUCCUGCAUAUAAGGAGCUAAUUUCUCAUAAUACAUUGACGAAAUAGAGACCAAACAUUCAAAAGCCGCUUGCCUAAUCUUCACUUCUGGAGACAAAGUCGCCUCACAGACAACUCUCAUGAUGUAAUCGCGCUCCAUAUUAUUGCUAAAAUUUGCUUGAGCAAAGCCUAGAGCGUUGUACAAUGCUCGAGCGGCAGCAAGCCUCACAUCAUUGUUUCCUUCAGAUGCAUUCAUACCUUGAACUACAGCAGUCAGAAUUUUAUUUACUUGAUCUUGAUCCACAACAUCAGGAGAGAUUUCCUCGCACAAAUAUCCAAGAGUCUCCAAUGUUGCUUGCUUAACAUGUGCCAGUAGCUGAUGAAUAUUGGACAACAGGGAUCCUAUUAACUCAGGCCAUUGUUUCUGGGGCAGCUCAAUGCCAGCAACCUUGGCAAUUACUUGUGAAGCAGUUGAUCGAGCAUCAGACACUGGAGAAGAGAGUGUCUUUAGCAAGCAUGUUUUUAUCUGGCUCUUGAUAGCAGCAUCCAAUGACAACCAUCUCUGAACAAGCUCAAAUUUUCUAUGUUGUUCCUUGGCAUCCAAGGCAUUCUUUAGAAUCAGACCGGCUAAUUUACGACUAUCAACAGGUUUUUCGUCAUUAGCUAGCUCUCCAGACAGUGAUAACAGAAAAAGAGGCAGAUUUUGCUCUUGAAACUGUUUCAAGCUUUCCUCUGCAUGCUUCCGCACAUUUCCAUCUAUUGAUUGUGCAUUCAAAAGCACCUCGGUAACCUCCAUUGCCAUAGUGUAUCUGAAAGAAUCAAACAUGAAUACUCAGACUCAUGCAGAGUUGCAUCUUACUACGUCCAUGUAAAAUAUAACGUCCACAUAUGAUAUAGUUCCUCAACUCAACCUCACAGCAUAUCCAAUAAUCAAAUCAGAAAUUUAAAGAACACAAAGGCACCAAAUAUUUCACAUAGACAUAAAAGAACAAGAAGCAAUAAAAAGGAUAAAAGAAAAAUGAAAGGUGAAAACUUCCACUAUAUAUAUAUAUAUACACACACACACAAAAAAAAAAAAAAAAAAAAAAAAAAAAAAAAAAACCUCUUCACCCUAUGACCAAGACUCCUUAAACAGAUUUAUUCAGUCAACUUGGUUCCUUGGAUUGUUCAAUUAUUGUUCUCAAUAAUCAAUCAGAAAACGGAAAAACUGGAAAUGUUAAAGACCAUUUUCCAGCAUUCUCAAUUAGAUCCAAAACAAACAAAAACAGGUUAACAUACUAACUCGAACUUAAAAUAAAUGAAAUUAAGAUCUCCGAACAAAAGCCAAAUACAAUAUAUCAUCAAAUCACUUAAUUGAGCAACAGUAUUAAGCAAAGCACUGUUUGAGGUCCAUAACUACAUUGAAACUAGGGUCUAUAAACAUAUAACCAAAAAAACACUGAAGUAAACAAAUCAGUGGCAUCACUCACAAUUGAGCAUUCCACUUAAAAAAUUUAUACCAAUCAGGAAAAAGACAACGAAAAUCAUAUUAACAUCAACAGCCACCAACCAAACCCGGAGAAACAACUGGAUCAAAUUCCAAAAAAGUUCAAUGAAGCAUUACAGGACAACAGAUCAUCAAUAUUAUACAUUGAAAACAGGAUUCGAAGACUGAAAGAAAUGGCAAUAAGAUUCCAAAAUCAAUUAUUCAAAUCAAACAGAAUAAGAAACCUAAACAGCGACCAUACCUACCUGAGAGUGUUACAAAAUUAGAUAAUAGGAAAUAGAGAAAAUAUCGGAGAGAAAGAAACGGCCCACUCCAACCCUAGCAGACAGUGAAAAAGGAGGAGGAGGAGACGAAGGAAGGAGAAGACGGACGUGAAGCAAAACUUGAAUUAACGCAAAUCAAAGAAAAAAAAAAAAUUAUUCUCAUAUUUGGGGAAUUGUUGAUUACUACACGCUUCACCGUAUGAGUGCUUAUAGGGUCCCACUUUGCGGUUGGAUAUGAAUCGAUCAUGGGCUGAAAAGGGCCCUAACGAAUAAAAUUGUUCUUAACUUCUUCUGUUCUGUAGAGUAAAUGAUCGUACCGUAGGAUCAGUCACCGCUCGACGGAGGAAAAAGCAAAGUUUUACGUGGGGUCCCAUUUGUACAAUUUGACAUUGGUCAACGGAUCCCGUGGUUAAUAUUAUUAUCCGUUGAUUUCUGGUCUUUUGGACCGUACUUGCAACUCAUCAUGUUAUAUUGGGCUUUAAAACAAUUCAAACUACAUGAACUUGAGUUUAAUUUAAUAGAACUUUUCGAUUCAAACUCAUUAUCCACAGCUUGUAACAAAAAUAAUUUAUAGAGUGAUAUAAUAAAAAUUAUUAUUCUUCUUUAUAUUUUGUAAGAUUUGUUAUGAAUAGAAAUUCAAUAAAUGAAAAGAAAUUUUUUAGAAAUAAUUACUAUUUGAUCUCUAAAUUUUUCUUAAAUAGAACCGUAAUUAUUUCGGUUUUCAAAAUCACAUUAUAUAAUACAGUCUUGUAUUAUAAUUUUCGUUACUUUAUAAGGUUUAAGUGUUCGUUUUUUUUGUUAAAUGACUGCAAAGUGUUAAAAGUAUUUAUAAAAAUAAUUACUAUAUAGUCCUUAGAAUUUGGUGCAAUACUCUAGUAAAGACCUCAAUUUUCACAAUUUUAACUAUUUAAUCUCUAUAUAAGUAAUUCUCCUUGAGAGUAUUUUUGAUAUUUCACAAUCACUUAAAAAAAAUAUUUCACAGUCACUCAACAAAAAAAUAACCGUUGGACUUCAUGCUUGAAAAAUUCUUUUGAAUUAAUUUAUGAGCUUUUCAUAUUAUAAAUAAAAAAACACUCCUGAUAUUAAAGUUGAAAGACCAUUAUUCUUUCUCAAAAACAAAAAAGACCAAUUUAAAAGGAAAAAAAAAUAUAUAUAAUUAUUAAAAAUAAAAAUGUAAAAAAUAACAUUAAUUUAUGCUCAUAGGCAUUUCUUUAUUCACUUAAACAUAGGCUACGUUUUAGCCUUGCAAUUACAAAAAGCAGAAUAGUUAUCCCAGUCAAUCUGAACCAGCUUGUUAUGCAACUAAAGAUAUCACAUUCAUGGAUAGUUUGAUAGAUGCUCAAGAUAAUUUCUGGCAGCAUGAUUAGCGCAUGCCACUUGGGCAGAUUAGAAAUUACAGGUAGGAAACAGGUAGAUUGAAUUGAAAUUCGCAGUCUACAAAAUACCAAAAAGUUGGUUACCUGUUAUACAGUGGAAAUCUAUUUGAACAAAAUGAAAAAAAAAAAAAAAACAAAGGAGCAAAUAUAAAAUUUCCAAGAACCGAAAAAUAUAGAACAGGAAAAAACAAAUCAAAGGAUCAACAAGACGCAUAGCCUGCACCCCAACCAAUACUCACAGGCCCAAAAAUGAACCAUGCAACAAAAUAUAAUUGCACUACGUCUUGCUCCUUGUGAGAAUCAAUCUCCAGAGAUGAAGACAUUUUAGUAUAAUAAUCUUAUCUACAAUCCCAAAACAUUACACAUUCUUUUUUGACAAAAACGAAGAGACUUUGUAUUUGAGAAAACGGGGAAAGAAAAUAAGUAUAUAUGAUUUAAUGAAUGCAGAAUGACUGACUUGGGAUCUAUGAGAACAGAAUAAAAGAAAAAUGAAUAAUGCAAUGCAGGACGCAACUCCCUCAAUUAUAAAAUGUUGAAGACCCCCCAAUCGAGUAUACCGAAAGAGUGUGCGAUAGUUAAAAUACAACCUGACCAUGACAGACAUAAUGAUGAACUAAUACAAGACAUCAUUGAAUGAAAUAUGAAAAGGGGCAAAAAAAAUCAUUAAUGAAUUGAGGGUCUUCUAAAAUGCGGCACUUGGGUGGUCUUCAAGUGUCACAAAACUUCAACAGACUCCCUGCAGCCCUCCACUCCCACAACCUAGAGGUACUUCAGAGACAACCACCGAGACAGCAAUAGGUAGUCUGGUGAGAAGAGGUAUCACCAAUAAAUAGCAGCUGACAAAAUGCUACCUGACCUGUAUCUAUUCAGCAAACCAACGUUACCUCUCCCUCACUUGCAACGAUUCUGUAUGCUAUGGCCAACAUUUUUUUCUUAAACCUUUGAAACAAAUGCCUUUGCCCACACCUGCAACAUAAUCACUACCCAAUACCUCCAAUAGAACCACGAUGCUGAUGCAAUAGUUAGUGACAGCCUGAAGAUAACUAUCGUUAUCUGUUGAUGGCACGACCUGACACAAAUUCAACCCAGACCCCGACUCAAUACACCCAAAUGCAUGCAGGGAUUUGUAGAGGAAAAAAUGCCUGAGUAUGAACAACCUCAAACAGAAAUGGCACGGCUUAUGGCCAACUUGGCCCACUCAGCAGAUUCCUUAAUCAUAUGAUCUUCAGAAGAUAAACAUUCAUUUAAAAAGUCUUUGACAGUAAGAGAUUGUUGUAUCAAAGAACCAGCAUUACUUCCCAGUGUAUCUGCUAAAUCCCCAAGGACACCAAUGGCAGUUUUCAUAACCACAUCAUCCCUGUAAAACCGAUAGGUUACAGAAAGCCAUAAACCAUAGUGUUUAACAAUGCAUUUUGAAUAGAAAGGGGAAAAAAUUAGAGAAGAAGGGAUCAAACAUAAGACAGCAGAACUUACAUGUCUUUCUCCAUGUAUAUGCUAUCCAGGAACUGGAGCAUAUGGGGUGCAUAAGGAAUCAAAAGUUGCGUUUUAGGAGAGUUUUUAAACCCCUGAAGAAUUCCAGAAUAAGCCUCCAAAAUCCCAUUUCUCAGUGAAUUUGAAUAAUCAAUCAUCUCUUCAUCAGUGCCAGCUGUACGAGCAGACAACUCUGCAGCACUUUGAAGCAUGGGCAUGGCAUACAUCAAAUACUUCUCGAAAUUCUCUCCUAUUGCUAAGGCAAUGUCACCAAAGCAUGAGAAAAUGGGAGGCUUCACAGAUCGAUGCAACUGAUUGCUGGAUAAAUCCUUCAGAAGUUGUGUCAUAAUCCCAUCACAAUAAGGCAAAACUUUAUCUUCUAUCGCCCUGCAGAUAUCCCCCACAACACCAACUGUAACAGCACACACUUGGUACUCCUCAAAAUUCUGAAGACCCAUUUCCAAAUAUUUAUAAAACUCUGCCAUGUAUUUUGCAAAAUCAGGACCAGAUGCAUAUGCAAGUGCUCCAAUGGCUAGCAUUGCCUCCUCAUGCACAGUUGCACUUCUGCAAGCAAAAACCCUCAGGAAAAGCCCCAUUAUUUGGUCUGCGUAUUGCAUGAACACAAUCUUAGUAGGCUCUGAUGAACCUAACUUCUGAAUGAUAACUUGUAAGCACCCACAAAGAAGCCCUUGCAACUCGCCCUGUUUCUCUCUCUCAUCAGAUCCAAGCUUCUGCCCUUCAAGAGUUUUGUGAAGCUCUGUCAUGAUGACUGGAACCAGCUGCAACACCAACGGAGCUGUUUCAUCAGUUGAGCACCUCACCACUUCGUUCAGCGUUUCAUAUGCAGCAGUCCUCAACCGGGACUCUCCAGCAUCUUCUCUGUGAGUAACAGUUAGAAGAGCAUGCACAAUUUCCUGGAAAUAAGGUGUCAAGGGAGAUGAUGGGCCUGAAUCCUCAUAACCUUGGGCAAGGAAAUACAGGGCACCGCAUGCCUUCUCAGCCACAUUUGGAGCAUCCUUCAUGCUUUGGAGCAGAACUGUUAUAAUCUGUUGGCAAUUUGCUUGAGUAAUUAUGGGUGUAUCCACAGUUGAACCAUGAAGGAAUUCAAAGAUUCGUCCCAAAGUCCAAGCAGUGGUGUCUUUCAC
rnacentral:lncRNA from 1 species